rnacentral:misc_RNA from 1 species
AGUUUUGCAAAUGGGCAUCACAGUCAGUCUGGAGAAGCAUUGGCUGAAUGGAGGUCUUCUGAACAAGUGGAAAAUGGAACGCCAUCAACUUCACCACCAUACUGGGAUACUGACGACGACGACGACGAUGCUGGACCAAAACCUUCAGAUUUGUAUGGAAAACAUACAUGGAAGAUAGAGAAAUUUUCUCAACUUAACAAACGAGAACUUCGAAGUAAUGCUUUUGAGGUUGGGGGCUAUAAAUGGUACAUUUUAAUUUAUCCUCAGGGUUGUGAUGUCUGCAAUCAUCUCUCUCUUUUUCUUUGUGUCGCAAAUCAUGAUAAACUCCUUCCGGGUUGGAGUCAUUUUGCACAGUU